GUAGUAGGAGGGUUAGGUAGCAGGAGGGUUUAUGUAGUAGGUAGCAGGAGGGGUUAGGUAGUAGGUAGUAGGAAGGGUUAGGUAGUAGGAGGGGUUAGGUAGCAGGAGGGUUUAUGUAGUAGGUAGCAGGAGGGGUUAGGUAGCAGGUAG